UUCCCAAUCUCAUAACCUUACCUACCUCUUCUCUUCUCCACGCAAAUCCCUCCCUGUUUCCCCAAAUUCCCAAUUUCUUCUCCACGCAAAUCCCUGGCGAUUACCCCAAUAGAAGAAGUUUCAGUUGGUGCUCAUUUGAUGGAUUGAUGGACCACGUCAGACUUGGUAUGUAUUGUGUUAGGAAACUGGUAAUGGGUUAGAUGAUGAAGCCGAGGAAAACAGAAAUUACUGAAAAACUACGUCAAGAAAUAAAUAAGGUUGUUAAUCAGUAUAUUGAUGAAUGUGUGGCAGAGCUUGUACCUGGAGUUCUAUUCAUUCAUGAGGUUCAUAUGCUGGACAUGGAGAGCUUUUCAUACUUGAUUCGUAGCUCACUAUCUCCAAUCGUAAUCCUUGCUACAAAUAGAGGAAUAUGUAACGUAUGAAAAAGUAAAUAAAUAAAUCUCUGAGAAGAUAUGCCUGCUGCAAACCUUCUUGAGGCCUGAGCAUUUGGAUAUACAGGCGGUACUUCAAAAUGAAGCUUCAUGGCUGGUAUGGCUACUGACCUUCUUUUAUUGUGGGAAGUUUAUUUUGUUUGGAUUGAAAUUAAUCUUACACUGCUUAUUGUAGGACUAGGCAUAGUUUUCUAAGUGUUUUUGAUGUGAUGGUGGUGCUGUAAUUGAGCAUUUUUAAUGCUUUAUAUUAUGAUUGCCUUUUGUUCCAUUUAAAUUGUGAACUUCAAUAAAUAAAUAUUAGAGAAUGUGAACUGAAUGGUUGAUGUAUCAUCGUAACAUAAAUAUUUUUUAUUGUUGCUCAAGAAGUGAAAUAUAGGUUCUAGAAUAAAAAGAAAAACCAUAGAGAGAAGACCAGUCCCCUGUUUUUAUAGUUCUAAUUUUAGACAGAACGUGAUAAACAAAAUGAUAAUUAUGUUAGAAUAGGCAGUAUUUUGAAAACACUAGAUGAAGUUACAGAGAUGGGCAUAUGCUUAAAUUUACACACUUAAUUGGACUAUUAUGAUUAGACGUUAGAUGCAGCAUUACUAUGGCUCCAAAGGAAAGGGAAAUGUCUGGCUGCAUGCAUGUUCCACUGGCCAUCUUAUUCUUUGUGUUUUAUAAAUAUUAUGUUCCUAAUCCCACAUCUUUCAGUUAAUAUGGGAAAUUGUGGAAUAUAAAUAAGGUGAACAAGUAAUGCAGAUCAUGCCACAAGAGACUUGGUUCAAUUUCAUUGAUCCGGGCGGGAAAGUCCUCAGGCCUUCUUCUGCAGAGAUGUGCAGUGUCGUAUGAAGGAACUUUAAUGGAUAAAGUUCUUGGAACCGCGGUGGUUUCAAGAACUUUAUCCAGCACAAAAAGAAAAAAGUAUUUAAUAUGAUUCACCUAUACAAAUAUACAACUUUGUUUUCCUGUUUACUAAUUUUAUUUCAAUUUAUGGUCAAUGAUGAUAUGAACUGUUAAGGCGCACCAACUUGGGGAGUCUGUCGGUCCUAUACAAUUAUUUCAUGACACUUGUUGGAGCGCCGAGAAAGGGUGGAUUAAUGAACAAGCAAGAGAGCUAUAUGAAAAAAUGAUAGAGCUGCAAGAUGAAACACAAGCAGGGGAAAGUGAAAAAACUGAAGUUGAAAUAUGUGAGGAAGUUCUGGGUAAAGCUUCCGGAUUUAACCAGAAUUUUGCAUUUUCACAGACUGAGCAUCAAUCCACUGCAACAGAAGCAGAGUUAAGGUGUAUUGUGCAACAACAAGAAAAUAAGAUUAAGUAGUUGGAGGAGCAACUCAUCUUAUUUGAUCAACAAAAAGAGAAAAUAAAAAGCCUUGAACACCAACAAUUUGUUCUGUUGGAGAUGAUGAAGCAGCUAACUAUAGCCCUUGAACUACAUCAAUCUGAUAAAGCUCCAACUCGAUAGCCAUUGCCAUCUCCACCGGAUGAAGACUCAUCCUCAUCAGCUACAGCUAUUUCAAAAACCGCAACUGGUGACACUUGACAUGCUAACGGUAUUGAUGGUUAUUUUUUUGUUGUAUGGGCAGUAGAUAUUUUGAAAUGGGGGUAGAACCAUCUUUUUAGGAUUGUUUGCAUAUAUAUGUUAGAUGGUGCACAUAGGGUGGGCAUUUUUUUGUUAGUUAUGCACAGAUAGAUAGGUAGUGGGGAAAAUGUG